rnacentral:rRNA from 1 species
AUUGAACGCUGGCGGCAUGCUUUACACAUGCAAGUCGAACGGUAACAGGCCUUCGGGUGCUGACGAGUGGCGAACGGGUGAGUAAUGCAUCGGAACGUACCCAGGGGUGGGGGAUAACGCAGCGAAAGCUGUGCUAAUACCGCAUGUGAUCUGAGGAUGAAAGCGGGGGACCGAGCAGCAAUGUUUGGCCUCGCGCCUUUGGAGCGGCCGAUGUCGGAUUAGCUAGUUGGUGGGGUAAAGGCCUACCAAGGCGACGAUCCGUAGCUGGUCUGAGAGGACGACCAGCCACACUGGGACUGAGACACGGCCCAGACUCCUGCGGGAGGCAGCAGUGGGGAAUUUUGGACAAUGGGCGCAAGCCUGAUCCAGCAAUGCCGAGUGCGGGAAGAAGGCCUUCGGGUUGUAAACCGCUUUUGGCAGGAACGAAACGGUGUCCGCUAAUACCGGGCGCUAAUGACGGUACCUGCAGAAUAAGCACCGGCUAACUACGUG